rnacentral:misc_RNA from 1 species
AGCAGCCGCGGUAAUUCCAGCUCCAAUAGCGUAUAUUAAAGUUGUUGCAGUUAAAAGCUCGUAGUUGAAUUUCGGGGUCAGCAGGUCGGUCGUGCCACUGGUAUGUACUGGCUUUGCUGAUUCCUCCCUCUUGACGAACCGUAAUGCCAUUAAUUUGGUGUUGCGGGAAAUCAGGACUGUUACUUUGAAAAAUUGAGUGUUUAAAGCAGGCUUACGCUUGAAUACAUUAGCAUGGAAUAAUGAAAUAGGACGUUCGAUCCUAUUUUGUUGGUUUCUAGGAUUGACGUAAUGAUUAAUAGGGAUAGUUGGGGGCAUUAGUAUUCAAUUGUCAGAGGUGAAAUUCUUGGAUUUAUUGAAGACUAACUAUUG